UACGGAGGGUGCAAGCAUUGAUCGGAAUUACUGGGCGUAAAGGGCGCGCAGGCGGUUAGGAAAGUCAGAUGUGAAAUACCGGGGCUCAACCCCGGUGCUGCAUUUGAAACUUCCUUUCUAGAGUUUAGUUAGGGAAAUCGGAAUUCCACGUGUAGCGGUGAAAUGCGUAGAUAUGUGGAAGAACACCAGUGGUGAAGACGGAUUUCUGGGCUAUAACUGACGCUGAGGCGCGAAAGCAUGGGGAGCAAACAGG
rnacentral:rRNA from 1 species